rnacentral:rRNA from 1 species
UACGUAGGGACCAAGCGUUGUUCGGAUUUACUGGGCGUAAAGGGCGCGUAGGCGGCUUGACAAGUCACUUGUGAAAUCUCCGGGCUUAACUCGGAACGGCCAAGUGAAACUGUCAUGCUAGAGUGCAGAAGGGGCAAUCGGAAUUCUUGGUGUAGCGGUGAAAUGCGUAGAUGUCUGGAGGAACACCGGUGGCGAAGGCGGCGUUCUGGACUGCAACUGACACUGAAAAACGAAAGCCAGGGGAGCAAACGGG